GGACCUUGUGGGGCUGUGGGGGGACACAGCUCCAGGGAGCAGGGCACAGGCAGAGGGAUGGGAAUUCAGGGCCUCCAAAGAGAUCUGUUUGAGCUGGGGGAAGACCCAAAGUCACUGAUCUGGGGUCCAUUGAGGGCCCAGGGAAUGGGGCUGGGGGUGUGGAAGGAGAGGGGUGUGAGGUGCAGGGAAGGAGAAAGAAAUUGCAGUGUAGGGACAUGGGAAUGCAGGGGAGGGGCUUGGUGGGGACAGAAGAACAAGGAUGGGUGGGAGCAGAACCAGCAAGUUGGGAGAUGCUGUGGGAGUGGGGAGUGAGUCAGGGAAUUCUACAGGGGGACCCUGCUAUACUGGCCAAGAAGAAAGGCAAAGGCUUGAAGGGGGACAAAGAAGGAGAGGCCUCAGGAAUGGUCAGUGGGAGGGCAUUUGGGGACCCUGAAUGGGACACAGAGGAGGGACCAAAAGGGUGGGAUGGGAGGCCAGAAAGGGCAAGAUGUGGGGACAGCCUUUAGCUGAUACCUCACCUUGGCCUGUGCCAGGGGGCACAGCAGGAUGGAGAAGAGCAGGGCCACGCUGAGCACAGCCACCUUCAUCUUCCUCUCGCUCUGGGCAGCGCUGCC